AAGACUAUACUUUCAGGGAUCAUUUCUAUAGUAUGUUACUAGAAUGCCAUGGCCAUUCCUUUCAAGUCUUCAUCUAGACAAGUAUCUGUAGG
rnacentral:sRNA from 1 species